rnacentral:lncRNA from 1 species
AAAUAAUCAACUAAUCGUCAAGCUUUGAUUAUUUGAAUCAGCUGUGUAGAGUUAGGGCAAAAAAACAAAACAUGCACCCCUUGGAAUCCCGAGGACCGAGUUUGGUAAACGCUGCCCUAACCUUAACCACUUAACCAAUUUAAAUGCAAACGUCAUUGGGGUGACGUCAGAGUUUGACGUCCCUAAGGACGCCGUAUUGCAAGGACCUAUAUCUCACCAAGACAACACGUCGGAAUCAACACAUUUAUAGGGAAGGAUCGCUAGACAGACCGUUUGUAAAGUGAUAUCCGUCAUGGAGGUUACUGAGAAGGUGGUGCCCAAAAACGCCCAGCUGCUAUCUCUUGGCCACAAGGACACUUGUCGCCUCUUGGAGGUGUAUGUGAAGCGCAGCAUCAGUUUAAAUGAUGGGACAUGUGAGGACCAGAGGUCACCAACAACGCCUCAGAAGUGGGUGACACUGUCAGAGAAAUGCAGAAGGGUCCGCCGGCAUUCUAGUGACCCCUUGAUCACCUUGGAGCCCAGCACACCUGACGAGGGCAUUGCCAGUAGCACACCACCUGAUGAGGAAGUUGUUAUACCAAAUGUGUCUCUAGUAGAAAUCCCUGGACCUGCUGACAUUCCUGAGAUUGAGACUUCUACUGAACUGGAGAAUAAGUCUAAAAAGGGCAAGAAGAAGAGCAAAAAGACCUCUUUCUGGAAAGGUUUUCUGGGGGUUUUCACGACGAAGGGGAGUGACAAGAAAGACGAGCAGGAGUCUGGCACAGAGAAAGAUGGACAGUCACAAGGAACCUUGCAGAAAAAGAAAUCCAUAAGGCAAAGGAGCUCCAUGAGGAGGUUAUCUCUGAGAAAAAUCAAGAUUGACAGCCACAGAGGGUCUGUGAAGAGACCAUUGGCUUUGGACAGGGCCAAGACCACUGACAUAACUGGAGUUGAAUCGGUUGAGAGUGUGGGGCCUACUGACUCGUACUAUGAGAAAGUUUCAGAAGAGCUGGAGAAGAUUGUGCAUGAGGUGAAAGAGACAGAGGCAGCUCUUACAGAUGAGGAUGUCAUAAAAAGGAUCAUUGUUCUGAUGAAGCAGCAAGGAGACCUCAUUGAUAACAAGCUGAAGGAGAACGCCAGCUUGAGCUCAUUCUUCCAGAAGCUGUCCUACAGCACCUUCCAGCAGUUAGCUGAUACGUACGUGGAGACAGAGACACCUACACGCCAGAGCCACCAGACACCACACACUGCUGGAUCUGGGCCCGUCAACGCCCCGGAGCUGGUCAAGCUGGCCUUCACUCUGGACUUCACAGCCAGGGUGGCCUGUCUCUCCAGGCAUUCCAAAGGCCACAUCAUGGGCCUGGGCCACCGCUACUUAGAAGACCGCUUCACCCAGACACAGGUAACAACACCAGAGGCGAGUCAGAUCUUUUUUUCCUCUUCUAUUCAAAUAUAUGUAAUUAUGUGCAAGUAA